UUUUUUUUUUAUUCAAUGGAGGAAUUUUCAUAAAAUAGUAUUUUACUUUCUUGAAGAUUUUAAUGCUUUCCAGAAAUUACAUUGCACUCCCCUAGUCCAUUCAUUUCCAGAUUCUGGAUGUCAGUUUCACACUGUUUUCAAAUCUCCAACAUCUCCGUCUCCUAUCACUCUAAGAUAUUUUUAUUUCAGAAAUUAAUUAAAUCAAAAGAGAUUUUCCACAAACUUCCAUUAUCACAGAUACUCAUAAACAAUACAUCUAUACCUAUCUUCUUUCAAGAAAAGGAGUAGUCAAAUACUGCUGACAAACACAUGGUAAUUUUCCAUUGUAACUAAUAAAAAAUAUAUGGAAAAUACAUAUUGUCUUAGUGUAAUGGGACUACGGGUAACCUGGUUUUCUAUAUUCCUCAUUCAUAAAAUUUCUAAAAAAUCAUCUGUAUUCCUUUUUAAUCAGAAAACAAUGAAAUUGGGUAUCUUGGAAUUUUAUAAUAGAUUUAUCUCUAUUUCUCUGUGUUACUUAUGAUAAUAUUAUUUUGACUAUUUGACUAUCCAUCUUUUUUUUAAUACAUAUUUUUUUAAAGAUUUAUUUAUUUAUGAUAGACAUAGAGAGAGAGAGGCAGAGACAGAAGCAGGCUCCAUGCCGGGAGCCCGACGUGGGACUCAAUCCCGGGACUCCAGGAUCGCCUCCUGGGCCAAAGGCAGGCACUAAACCGCUGAGCCACCCAGGGAUUCCCCUGACUAUCCAUCUUUUAACUGAGAAGAAGAAAAACCAAAAAAGACAAAAAAUGAAAUAAAGCAAACUAAUGUUUCAUACACUUCACAAAAAGACUAUGUUAGAAAAAUCUUGACUGUGAUUUUUUUCUCUAUCCUAUUUAUGAUAAUUUAUCAUUUAGUGACAUUCCAACCCUUCUUAAUCAUACUGUAAUUAAGCUUUGCAUGUAGCCAUCUGCCAGGAAAAUAAUCUUGAUUGAACUCUACAAGGGUAUGAAAUAUCAAUAUUAGAUAUUUUCUUUAAAAUAGUACUUUUGAGAAAGAGAAUCUACAUUUUUUAACUAUGCAUACUGAAUUUAAUCAUCACCACAUGUUUUAGAUAUCACAUUAAAUCUUAAAAACAGCAGUAUUUACUAAAAUGUUUGCAUCCAAAUUUAGCUAUAGAAUAAAUUACAUGCAAUUUAUACAAUGCUAGUUAUUGAAAUAUAUUCAUAAUUACAUAUUAAACUUCAGCAUAUUCAAAUUAGAUAAAAUACUUCACAAUAAAGGAUUUUUCUAUAAGUUUAUUCACAUAAAAAAGUUUUUUUUAAUUUUUUUUUAAUUUUUAUUUAUUUAUGAUAGUCACAGAGAGAGAGAGAGGCGCAGAGACACAGGCAGAGGGAGAAGCAGGCUCCAUGCACCGGGAGCCCGAUGUGGGAUUUGAUCCCGGGUCUCCAGGAUCGCGCCCUGGGCCAAAGGCAGGCGCCAAACCGCUGCGCCACCCAGAGAUCCCAGAAAAGUUAUUUUUAAAAAGAAUCUCUAGGAUGAAAUGUUCUGAAUAUAUCUGUUAAAUCCAUCUGGUCCAGUGUGUCAUCCAAAGUCAUUCUUUCCUUGUUGAUUUUCUGCUUGGAUGAUCUGUCCAUUGCUGUGAAUGGGGUAUUAAGGUUCCCUACUAUUAUUGUAUUAUCACAGAUCAGUUUCUUUAAGUUUGCUAUUAAUAGAUUUACAUUUUGGUUGCUCCCAAGUUGGGGGCAUAAAUAUUUACAAUUGUUACUUCUUGUUGGAUAGACUCCUUUAUUAUGAUAUAGUGCCCCUUUUCAUCUCUUAGUACAGUCUUUGGUUUAAAAUCUAGUUUGAUAUAAGUAUGGCUACUUCAGCUUUCUUUUGCUAUCCAUUAGUAUGAUAGAUAGUUCUCCACCCCCUCACUUUCAAUUUGAAGGUGUCUUUGGGUCUAAAAUGAGUCUCCUAUAAGCAGCAUAUAGAUGGAUCUUAUUCUUUAUCUAAUCUGAUACCCUAUGUCUUUUAACUGGAGCACUGAGUCCAUUUACUUUCAGAGUAAUUACUGAUAAAUAUUAAGUUUAGUACUACUGUAUUACCCGUAAAGUCAAUGUUCUUGUAAAUUGUCUCUAUUCCUUUCUAGUCUUUGUUGCUCUUGGUCUUUCCUUCCCAUUCAAAGGUUUCCCUUUAAUAUUUCUUGGUUGGCUAGUGUUCACCAACUCCUUUAGUUUCUGCUUAUCUUGGAAACUCCAUCUCUCCUUCCAUUCUGAGUGAGAUAACCUUGCUGGAUAUAGUAUUCUUAACUGCAUAUUUUUUCCCUUUUAGCAUGUUGAAUAUAUCACGGUACUUUUUCCUACCCUGCCAAAUUUCUGUGGUCAGAUCUGCUAGUAACCUUAUAUGUCUAAUCUUGUAGUUUAAAGACCUUUUGUCCCUAGCUGCUUUCAGAAUUCUCACUUUAUCUUUGUCUAUACUACCUGAAGCAAUCUACACAUUCAAUGCAAUUCAGAGUAAAAGAACAGCAACACUGUUCACAGAACUAGAACAAACAAUUUUAAAAUCUGUAUGGAACCAGAAAAUACCCCAAAUAGCUAAAGUAAUGUUGAAAAAGAAAAAGAAAGCAAGAGGCAUCACAAUCCCAGACUGCAAGCUCUGUAUUACAAAGCUGUGAGAUCAUCAAGACAGAAUGAUACAGGUACAAAAAAAGAUACCUAGAUCAAAGGAACAGAACAGAGAACCCAGAAAUGGACCCACAACUAUACUGUCAACUAAUCUUUGACAAAGAAGGAAAGAAUAUCCAAUGGAAAAAAGACAAGUCUCUUCAACAAAUGGUGUUGGGAAAACUGGACAGCCAUGUGAAGAAUGAAACUGGACCACUUUCUUAUACCAUACACAGAAAUAAAUUCAAAAUGGAUGAAAGACCUAAAUGUAAGACAAGAAACCAUCAAAAUAUGAGAGGAGAAAACAGGCAGCAACCUCUUUGACUUCAGCUGCAGUAACUUCUUACUAGACAUAUCUCUGGAGGCAAGGUAAACACAAACAAAAAUGAACUAUUGGGACUUCAUCAAGAUGAACUUCUGCACAAGAAAGGAAACAAUCAAUAAAACUAAAAGGCAACUGACAGAGAGAAGAUAUUUGCAAAUGACUAUUGGAUAAAGGGCUAGUAUCCAGAAUCUAUAAAGAACUAAUCAAAAUUAACAUAUAAGAAUAAAUGGCUAAAAAAUGGGCAGAAGACAUGAACAGACAUUUUUCAAAAAAAGACAUACCAACGGCUAACAGCACAUGAAAAAAUGCUCAACAUAACUCAUCAUCAGGGAAAUACAAAUCAAAACCGCAAUGAGACCACCUCACACCUGUUAGAAUGGCUAAAAUUAAGAACUCAGGAGACAACAGAUGUUGGUGAGGAUGAGAAGAAAGGGGAACCCUUUUGUACUACUGGUGGGAAUGCAUGCUGGUGCAGCCACUCUGGAGAACAGUAUGGAUGUUCCUCAAAAAUUUAAAAAUAGUGGCAGCCUGGUGGCUCAGUGGUUUAGCCCACCUUCAGCCCAGGACCCUGGGAUCAAGUCCCGCAUGGGGCUCCCUGCAUGGAGCAUGCUUUUCCCUCUGCCUGUGUCUCUGCCUCUCUCUCUCUCUCUCUCUCUCUGUGUGUGUGUGUGUGUGUGUCUCAUGAAUAAAUAAAAUCUUUUUUAAAAAAUUUAAAAAUAGAGCUACCCUGUGACCCAGCAAUUUUACUUUUAGAUAUUUAUCUGAAGGAUACAAAAAUGCUUAUUCAAAGGGGCACAUGCCCCCUAAUAUUUAUAGCAGCACCAUCAACAAUAGCCAAACUACGGUAAGAGCCCAAAAGUCAACUGACUGAUGAAUGGAUAAGGAAGAAGUGGUGUAUACAUAUACAAUGCAAUCUUACUCAGCCAUUAGAAAGAAUGAAAUCUUGCCAUUUGCAAAAAUGUGGAUGGAACCAGAGUGUAUUAUGCUAAAUGAAAUAAGUCAGUCAGAGAAAGACAAUAUCAUGAUUUCACAUUUAUAUGUGGAAUUUAAGAAGCCAAACAGGUGAACACAGGGGAAAAGAAGGAAAAAUAAAAUAAGAUAAAAACAGAUAAAGAGGCAAACUGUAAGUGACUUUUAACUAUAGGAAACAAACUGAGGGUAGCUGAGGGAAAGUGGGUGGGGCAUGAGCUAGAUGGAUAAUGGGCAUUAAGGAGGGCACUUGUGAUGAGCAUGGGUGUUGUAUGUAAGUGAUCAAUCACUAAAUUCUACUCUUGAAGCCAAUGUAAUAUAUAUAAUUUAAUUUAAAAAAAGGUAGACCCAUCAAACUCUUUGAGUUCACUCCACUUUUUCAUUACAUUUCUUAUAUUCCUAUAGUCCAACAAUUUUUUUUCCCAUUUAUUUAUGAUAGUCACAGAGAGAGAGAGAGAGCGGCAGAGACACAGGCAGAGGGAGAAGCAGGCUCCAUGCAGGGAGCCCAACGUGGGACUCGAUCCUGGGUCUCCAAGAUCACACCCUGGGCUGAAGGUGGCGCUAAACCACUGAGCCAUCAGGGCUGCCCUCCAACAAUUAUUUGAAAGCCAAGAGCAGAUUAAGUCUGUGUAUUACAUAGAAAUCCAGAGGUUUCUAAUGGAUAGUUUGUAAUAUGUUUGGUUUAUUAAUCCUUUCUUUCUUUUCUUUAUUCUUUACUCUCUUCCUCCCUUUAUUCUUUCCUUCCUUUUCUCUUUUAUUCAUUAAACAUUUUAACUGGUAUCUUCAUGUUAGAUUGGAUUGUAAAGAACUGUGCUGGUAAGAGGGCAUUGCCAAGUGAAGUCUCAGAAUAUCCAAAGAAAUCUCUUCUUCAUCACUUAGUAGACACUUCCCCUUAGGAAAACUGUAGAAUGAUUCUAAAUAUCUGUUUU
rnacentral:lncRNA from 1 species